GCGGAGGAAAAGAAAGCAACAGCGAUAGCCUCAGUAACGGCGAGUGAAGCGGCUACAGCUCAAAUUUGAAAUCUGGCUCCCUUUGGGCGUCCGAGUUGUAAUUUGCAGAGGAUGCUUUGGCAUUGGCGGCGGUCUAAGUUCCUUGGAACAGGACAUCGCAGAGGGUGAGAAUCCCGUACGUGGGCGCCUGCCUUUGCCGUGUAAAGCUCCUUCGACGAGUCGAGUUGUUUGGGAAUGCAGCUCUAAAUGGGAGGUAAAUUUCUCCUAAAGCUAAAUACCGGCCAGAGACCGAUAGCGCACAAGUAGAGUGAUCGAAAGAUGAAAAGUACUUUGGAAAGAGAGUCAAAUAGCACGUGAAAUUGUUGAAAGGGAAGCGCUUGCAGCCAGACUUGCCCGCAGUUGCUCACCUAGGCUUUUGCCUGGGGCACUCUUCUGCGGGCAGGCCAGCAUCAGUUUGGGCGGUCGGAUAAAGGUCUCUGUCAUGUACCACCCCUCGGGGUGGCCUUAUAGGGGAGACGCAAUGCGACC
rnacentral:ncRNA from 1 species